AUAUACGGCCCAAAUGCAAAUGCCAGCCCAAUCGCAACGGAACUCAAACAGGCUACAAAAGCGAACCUAGUGGUUGACGUCUCUCAGUUCCACUCGUUCGCCAUUUCCAGGAAUUGGUUUAUAACUAGAUAAGCAAAAUGGCUGCUCAUAAGAUUGCACAUGCCACCUUGAAAGGUCCAAGUGUUGUGAAGGAGAUCUGUAUCGGGGCCACACUUGGCUUGCUUGCUGGUGGCUUGUGGAAGAUGCAUCACUGGAAUGAGCAGAAAAAGCUCAGGACAUUUUAUGAUAUGCUGGAGAAAGAUCAAAUUAGUGUUGUUGUGGAUGAGUAGCUCCCCCGUAUCCGUUUUGAUUCUGUCAAUGUCUUCUCCUUUAGCAAUUUGGUCAGCUUGGGUUCCUCAAGAUCUAUUCUAAGAUGCAAAUGAGCAUACUUGGUUAAUCACUGGCUAUUGAGAAAUAAGUUUUUUCUGAUUCUGAAACUUGUAAGACCGAGGCCAUUAUAUCCAGUAAACCCUUUUUCUGUUGUGUUUUGCCGUCAUGAUUAAUUGAAAUGCUACAGAAGAUUUCCAUGCUA